rnacentral:rRNA from 1 species
AGCCCAUUAGCUAGCUCGCACCCCAAAAUGCAACAAUCCAUUGUAAAUAACCCCUAACCACACCUUAUACCCCUAAGACCAAACCAUUUUUCCCCCUAAGUAUGGGCGACAGAAAAG